rnacentral:rRNA from 1 species
CGCCUGAACUUAAGCAUAUCAAUAAGCGGAGGAAAAGAACCCAACAGGGAUUGCGUUCAGUAACGGCGAGUGAAGCGGUAACAGCUCAAAUUUGAAAGCUCCUUACAAGGCGCAUUGUAAUUUGUAGAAGAUGCUUUGGGUGUCGGCCCAGUCUAAGUUCCUUGGAACAGGACGUCAUAGAGGGUGAGAAUCCCGUAUGUGAUUGGUGCCGUUGNCCGUGUAAAGCUCUUUCGACGAGUCGAGUUGUUAGGGAAUGCAGCUCAAAAUGGGUGGUAUAUUUCAUCUAAAGCUAAAUAUUGGCCAGAGACCGAUAGCGCACAAGUAGAGUGAUCGAAAGAUGAAAAGCACUUUGGAAAGAGAGUUAAACAGUACGUGAAAUUGUUGAAAGGGAAGCGCUUGCAACCAGACUUGCAGGCGGUCAAUCAUCCGGGGUUCUCUCCGGCGCACUUGAUCGUCUUCAGGCCAGCAUCGGUUUUGGUGGUGGGAUAAAGGCUCAGGGAAUGUGGCUCUUCGGAGUGUCAUAGCCCUGGGACAAUGCCGCCUACCGGGACCGAGGUCCGCGCUUCGGCUAGGAUGCUGGCGUAAUGGU